rnacentral:lncRNA from 1 species
CCACAGAAACCUGUGUUUCAGGUCUGAGUCCUUUUUCAGGAUCCUCAGAGAGAUAAUGGAUGUGAGCACUUUAGAAAAUAGACAGCUUUCUGCAAAAUUAAGAAAACAAAAAAACCUAACAUGCCAGAGAUAAGGUUACUUGCCCAAAGUUACAGAAUUGUGAAGUGGCUGAGAUGAUUUAAGACCCAACUAUGCUGUUUCCUGGAAAGCCUUCUCAGAACUUCUGGAGGUGGUUUGCUAUUUUCUUUCCUUUAAUAAUGUAGUACCUACCUGGAUUAUAAUGUAAUUCCUAGAAAAUUGCCACUGUCUGUGUCAGUGGCCUCCUUCCCACCCAGGUGGUGACCUGCUGGAGCUAGGAGUC